UUUUUUUUUUUUUUUUAAAUCAACGCACCGAAUUAUUUUGGGCAUUUUAUAAUUACAGUGUCUGUAAUAGACUAUUGGAAACAAAAAUCUAAACAGAUUUUGCCCCCAAGCAUGAAAUAGCAUCCACAUGACGUAUAUUUAAGACAAUAAAACCAUUUAUAAAUGACAUUAAAACAGUAACAGCGGUUUUCCUUUCAAUUGUCAUUGUAAAUACUCUACUCCAGUGUUCUCCCCUCCACUCUUAUGCCUUCUGUGUGAUCAGCACCAGCUUCUCCUGAAUGAGGAUCCAUAAAUUAUCUCAAGAGUGCAAAAUUCAUUCAUAGAAUUUUUAUGUCAAGAUGCUUUUCAAUCUUUUCUCUCUCAGAUAUGCCACUUUUCUAUGGAAAGAUUUUGGAUAAGACCUGCGCUGCUUCAGAAUAACUCAUGGAGUUCCCAUUUUAUUUUCUCCUCUGAUCGUUAGUAUUAAUAUAUUUAAUCUUAAACAGACUGCAAGAUUAUAUUUAAUCUUAAUGCAGACCAUGGCUGUGGAAAAAGAGGAAAGCUCUGAUUUGCUCAUAGGCAAGGGAGGGGAGUAGGUAGCGACCCCUAGAGUUAUUCCAGGUCUGUUUUCAUUAUCUCAACAUUAACAUACUGAAAUGGCUCAAAGAUGUUAAUAUGCAAAUUUAAUCAUAUCUCACAAAAUAUAUCUUACAUUGUGAUUUUUUUUAAAAUUUUUAUUUUAUUUUAUUUUUGAGUCGGAGUCUGGCUCUGACUCUGUCGCCCAGGCUGGAGUGCAGUGGCCGGAUCUCAGCUCACUGCAAGCUCCGCCUCCCGGGUUCCCACCAUUCUCCUGCCUCAGCCUCCCGAGUAACUGGGACUACAGGUGCCGCCACCUCGCCCGGCUAGUUUUUUUUUUUUUUUUGUAUUUUUUUAGUAGAGACGGGGUUUCACCGUGUUAGCAAGGAUGGUCUUGAUCUCCUGACCUCGUGAUCCGCCCAUCUCGGCCUCCCAAGGUGCUGGGAUUACAGGCUUGAGCCACCGCGCCCGGCCACAUUGUGAUUUUCUUAAUGGUGAACCUAACGUCUAUAAAAUUGAAACCAGUAGUUGGGAGGAAUUCACUGUACUUAGAACAGUACACAUAAACUCAGAUUGAAGUAGAAACACACAAGAGGACAGAGAGAGAAGAAAGGAGACCGACCCAGUGGAGAUCGAUUGCUACUCAAUUACACUUUACAACACCUGACCCUGAUAAUCCACACCAGCCCCAGCCCCAUUUCAAAACUUUGCUCUGAAGCUAUCACUUGUCUAGCAAAAAACAAAGAAACAAAAAACAGAGGCUAACUGGAAAGCAGGAAAACAUAGAGGAAUGAAACAAAAGAAUCCUA
rnacentral:lncRNA from 1 species